rnacentral:rRNA from 1 species
AUCGAACGCUGGCGGCAUGCCUAACACAUGCAAGUCGAACGAGUCCUUCGGGCCUACUGCCGCACUGAUCCGCGACGCGGGGGGAACUGCCUUUAAGUUCGCAAGAACUUCCCGGAAGACGUCCUAAUACCGGCUCUUGUACUCCGUCCAUAGAUUGAUCGCCUUUGGAUGGGCUGGCGUUGUAUUAGCUAGUUAGUAGCGUAAAAGCGUCCCACUACUACGUGCCAUAGCUGGUCUGAGAGGAUGAUCAGCGACACUGGGACUGAGACACGGCCCAGAAUCCUACGGGAGGCAGCAGUGGGGAAUAUUGGACAGUGGGCGGUAGGCUGAUCCAGCAAUGACGGGUGAGUGAUGAAGGCCGUGGGGUAGGAAAGUUAGUUUACCCCGUAUGAUAUUGACGUUACCAGGAGAAUAAGCACCGGCUAACUCCGUG